rnacentral:rRNA from 1 species
UAGCCGUAAACGAUACUCGCUAGGUGUCGGCCACGGUGCGACCGUUGUCGGUGCCGUAGGGAAGCCGUGAAGCGAGCCACCUGGGAAGUACGGCCGCAAGGCUGAAACUUAAAGGAGUUGGCGGGGGAGCACAACAACGGGUGGAGCUUGCGGUUUAAUUGGAUUCAACGCCGGAAAUCUUACCGGGACCGACAGCAACAUGAAGGCCAAAGCUGAAGACUUUGCCGGAUUAGCUGAGAGGUGGUGCAUGGCGUCAGUGAC